rnacentral:sRNA from 1 species
CAAGCACCUCGUUAGGUGAGGCUUCCAUUACGGAUAUAGGCCACUGACCUCAAACGUCGAAAGACGCCCAGGGUCAGGACAGCUCUUCCCGGCUUAAGGGUUGAGCCCAAGUGGCUUCUGGCUUCGGCCGGAUACGCAGUGUGGUGCCGAAGCUCUGAUGAGAGGGGUGCCGG